rnacentral:rRNA from 1 species
AAGCCAGACUCCUACGGGAGGCAGCAGUGGGGAAUAUUGCACAAUGGGGGAAACCCUGAUGCAGCGACGCCGCGUGAAGGAAGAAGUAUUUCGGUAUGUAAACUUCUAUCAGCAGGGAAGAAAAUGACGGUACCUGACUAAGAAGCCCCGGCUAACUACGUGCCAGCAGCCGCGGUAAUACGUAGGGGGCAAGCGUUAUCCGGAUUUACUGGGUGUAAAGGGAGCGUAGACGGCCAUGCAAGCCAGGGGUGAAAGCCCGGGGCCCAACCCCGGGACUGCCCUUGGAACUGUGCGGCUAGAGUGCGGGAGGGGCAGGCGGAAUUCCUGGUGUAGCGGUGAAAUGCGUAGAUAUCAGGAGGAACACCGGCGGCGAAGGCGGCCUGCUGGACCGCGACUGACGUUGAGGCUCGAAAGCGUGGGGAGCGAACAGGAUUAGAUACCCUAGUACA